rnacentral:tRNA from 1 species
GGAGAGGUGGUCGAGUGGUUGAUGGCUCCGGUCUUGAAAACCGGCAGGGCGCAAGCCCUCGUGGGUUCGAAUCCCACCCUCUCCGCCA